GACGAACGCUGGCGGCGUGCCUAACACAUGCAAGUCGAGCGAGGUUGCGGAUGGGUGCUUGCACCCUGAAGCUACCUAGCGGCGGACGGGUGAGUAACGCGUGAGUAACCUGCCUUAUACAGGGGGAUAACAACGAGAAAUCGUUGCUAAUACCGCAUAAGACCACGGUAUCGCAUGGUACAGGGGUAAAGGAGCAAUCCGGUAUAAGAUGGACUCGCGUCCCAUUAGCUAGUUGGUGAGAUAACAGCCCACCAAGGCAACGAUGGGUAGCCGACCUGAGAGGGUGAUCGGCCACACUGGGACUGAGACACGGCCCAGACUCCUACGGGAGGCAGCAGUGGGGAAUAUUGGGCAAUGGGCGAAAGCCUGACCCAGCAACGCCGCGUGAAGGAAGAAGGUCUUCGGAUUGUAAACUUCUGUCGUCAGGGACGAAAAAGGACGGUACCUGGCAAGAAAGCCCCGGCUAACUACGUG
rnacentral:rRNA from 1 species